rnacentral:lncRNA from 1 species
UGAGAGAAAGAGAGUGUGAGACUGAGCGGUUGGGAGUAAUAAAAUAAAAUAAAGAACAACCCUAAUUCUCGAUCCUCGUCAUUGCCGUCAACUUGGAUCGGAGAGAGAUCGAUCACCUCGCCGGCGCCGGUAAGCCCCUUGGCCAAAAUUCGCCGUCUUUAACUUUCCUCAUUCCUGCCUUCUUCUAUCUCUUACCCUAAUUAAUGCCUAAUUUCCGGCUUUCUCCGAAAUUGCGUAAUUCCAUUUAAAACCUCUCUUGAUUUAAAUCUCAAAGUCGAUUGUGAUUUGGGGAGCGGAGUUGUCAGCUGAAGCUCGGGAGAAGGUAAAAUUUCUGAUUUUGCAAUAGAUAAAUUGUUUAAUCACCUAAUUUCCUCAAAGUUUAAAUUGUAUAUUGAAUUGGAGUUAAUUUGUUCUUAAUCCGGUAUUGGAUUCAAUUUCUACCAGAUUUCGCUGGUCAUGAUUUUAGAUGUCAUAUACUUUACUAGGAUUGAAUUUAUAUUGCUUUAUUUUGAGGUCUAAUGCUGAAAGUCUAAAGAUGGUACAAAGAUUUUUUGAGAAACUAUUCAGUUGCAAUUCAGUCGCGGCAUUUAGCUCUUAUUUGAAUGAAGUCAGUUGGUAACUUAAAAACUGGGAUUUAGCAUAUAUAUUAGUAAGAUUAACAUUUCCUUGGAUUUGUUGAAGUUAUGCUAUUGAUGCUCACAAUCUGAGCUGGUAGAAAUUGCUUUUGCACCAUGGAAUUUGUGUAAGGUUAGCAGAUCAUGUGGAACAUUCUUGUAGUAAAGUGAUUUUGGGAUAUGAGAGCGUCAGUUAUUCAUUUAUGAGAUGUAAGUAUUAAUGGCUGCCUACUCCAAGUGUUUAUGUGGUGUUAUUAUAUUUCUAAUUGUGGAUUGACUACAUUUAUGUACAUCUAUUCUUGAUUUUAGUAGAUCUACAAGCUUCAUUAGAUUUCCAGAUGUCCUGAAUAGAUUUCUUUUAGAUACAGAAGUUCUUACCUCUAAAAGUUGAUGUUCAAAUGGUUUUCAAUAAAGGAAAUUAUGUGAAAAUUUUAUUUUGUGUUUAUUUUCACGUGCUUCCCAGUUUUGCAAUAUUGGAUAUCUCAAAUUUUACUAUAUAUACAUAAUUCCUUUUUAAGAGUCUUUUCGGUUCAAAAUUUCUGAACAUCAUGAUAACUGCAAUGGAGGAUGUGAUUUGCUGUGUGUAAUGCUUUAAGAUAUUAAUAGCAAGGUUCAUGUUCUCGUUGUUGCUUUAUUAAAGAUAUGAUGAAAAGAAAGAUCUUUGUUAAACUUUUACUGUUCCUCAUUUUUAAUGUUAUUCCGUAUGUGAGGGGUAUGAUUUUAUAGAAAGAUAUAAGCUUUCAUGUAUGGCUAUGUAAUUACAAAUUCACAGCAUACUGGUGCAUUAUGACAUUAGUUGAAAAUAAUUUACAGCAUAAGCAACUCUGCGCUUUGUUUCAACUGACCAGCACUCCACUUCAAGCAUUGCAUUAAGCUCCACAAGGCCUUUGCAAUUUACUGUGCCUAGAUUCUUUAAUUUCUAUAAUAAGAAGUAGGAGUACAUACUCUCUAUUACAUUUCUGAUAUUUAAUCAGUUCUGUUUGCUGGUUAAGAUACUUCUCCUUUUUUGCCAUUGACCAUAAACUUGACCAUUGGUUGGAGUAGAAGUUUGCUUGUGGUAUCAGUAUGUGAUUUACCUUUUAGGGAGAUAAAGGUGAAAGAUGCCUAUCUUGUUGGUGUUAAUCUUACGUGGUAGCCUUUUUAGUACAGCUCUAGACAAAUAGCUGGUACUACUUAUUUUUUGAGACUUACAGAAUUAGUUGUUCAUAUGAUAGGUUAACAAAGCUUAAUCAGCUAAAAUUUGCUUGAUGACUAUAUGUUGCAUCUAAUGCAUUAUUUUAUGCCUAAGUGCCUUAUUUUCAAAGGGGCCCUACUGCCUAGAGCAUUCCACACCAAACAAAGAGAAAAGGAAGUGAUAAAAGGGAAAGAGAGGUAUGCGUCUUGUCAAAUGCAAUCAUGGAUUACAUGAUUAUACCUUGAAGUAUUGAGCGAGUAGCCUGGACAAGGAAUCUGGAGAUGCGGUUUCUGUUGACUAGUUCAUAUGAAUAGUCAUUACUCAUUUCUGUGUUAGACAUUUUGGUGAUGGAUGCAUUAUUAAGCAUGCUAGAAUCAAUAUGGUUGUGAACAAAUUAAGACUUGCUUUCCUUUUCUAAAAUUUGGCUCUGCAUUAUAUACAUCUAUUCAAGAGAAAAUCUAUGUUAUAUGGACUCCGGUAUUGGUGUCAGAUACAGGUGCAUGUUGAAGUGUCGGAUUCGCAUAUUUAAAAAUUAUAGGAUCCAGGGAUAUGUGACCAAUUUUAGGUAUGGGUGCAGGGGUGCGCUUCUUAAACUUGUAGAUGGAUAAGAUCUUUAGAAAUAAAAAAUAAUUAUUUUAUUUUUUAAAAAAAUAAUAUUUUUUCUUAAUAAAUAAU